UACAGAGGUCUCAAGCGUUGUUCGGAUUCAUUGGGCGUAAAGGGUGCGUAGGCGGCGCGGUAAGUCAGGUGUGAAAUUUCGGAGCUUAACUCCGAAACUGCAUUUGAUACUGCGGUGCUUGAGGACUGGAGAGGAGACUGGAAUUCACGGUGUAGCAGUGAAAUGCGUAGAUAUCGUGAGGAAGACCAGUGGCGAAGGCGGGUCUCUGGACAGUUCCUGACACUGAGGCACGAAGGCCAGGGGAGCAAACGGG
rnacentral:rRNA from 1 species